GCCUGUGGCCGAUUAGCUAGCUGGUGAGGUAAGGGCUCACCAGGGCCAUGAUCGGUAGCUGGUCUGAGAGGACGAGCAGCCACACUGGGAUUGAGAACGGCCCAGACUCCUACGGGGGGCAGCAGUGAGGAAUUUUCCGCAAUGGGCGCAAGCCUGACGGAGCAACGCCGCGUGCAGGACGACGGCCUUCGGGUUGUAAACUGCUUUUCUGGGAGACGAGAACGGACGGUAUCCCAGGAAGAAGCCCCGGCUAACUACGUGCCAGCAGCCGCGGUAAUACGUAGGGGGCAAGCGUUGUCCGGAGUUACUGGGCGUAAAGCGCACGCAGGCGGUUCUGCGCGUUUCCGGUGCCAGCUCGUUGCUUAACGACGGGAGUGCCGGGAAGACGGUGGGACUCGAGGGCCUCAGAGGGACAUAGAAUUCCGGGUGGAGUGGUGAAAUGCGUAGAUAUCCGGAGGAAUACCAAAGGCGAAGGCAGUGUCCUGGGAGGUUUCUGACGCUGAGGUGCGAAAGCCAGGGGAGCGAACGGGAUUAGAUACCCCGGUAGUCCUGGCCGUAAACGAUGACCAUUAGGCGUGUGGGGUAUCGACCCCCUGCGUGCCGUAGUUAACACAUGAAAUGGUCCGCCUGGGGAGUACGGUCGCAAGAUUAAAACUCAAAGGAAUUGACGG
rnacentral:rRNA from 1 species